UUACUUCAUCAUCUGUCGCAGGCACUAGUCUCCCAUCUCCUUCCACCCGAACAAGCUUGUAUACAACAGGAUCAGUAAGCUGCUUGGUUGAGGAUAGAGAAGAGUAAGUUUUCCCAAACCCAGCUUCCUCAAACUUUCCUUCGUCGUUCCCCUCAACUCCAACCUCUGUUUCCAUGGAAAAUCCACCACAUGCAACUCAAAUACACAAACAUAGAAGUAUG
rnacentral:misc_RNA from 1 species